rnacentral:rRNA from 1 species
UACGUAGGGGGCUAGCGUUGUCCGGAAUCAUUGGGCGUAAAGCGCGUGUAGGCGGUCCGGUAAGUCCGCUGUGAAAGUCGGGGGCUCAACCCUCGAAUGCCGGUGGAUACUGUCGGGCUAGAGUGCGGAAGAGGCGAGUGGAAUUCCUGGUGUAGCGGUGAAAUGCGCAGAGUAUCGGGAGGAACACCAGUAGCGAAGGCGGCACUCUGGGCCGGUACUGACGCUGAGGAGCGAAAGCGUGGGAGCGAACGAGG